rnacentral:rRNA from 1 species
GACGUAGGGUGCAAGCGUUGUCCGGAUUUACUGGGCGUAAAGGGCGUGCAGGCGGUCUGUUAAGUUCAGGGUGAAAGCUCCCGGCUCAACUGGGAGAGGUCCUUGGAUACUGGCAGACUUGAGGGAGGUAGAGGAGAGUGGAAUUCCCGGUGUAGUGGUGAAAUGCGCAGAUAUCAGGAGGAACACCAAUAGCGAAGGCAGCUCGCUGGGACGUAACUGACACUGAGGCGCGAAAGCGUGGGGAGCGAACAGG